AACGAACGCUGGCGGCAGGCCUAACACAUGCAAGUCGAACGAGUAAGAGCCGUAGCAAUACGGAGUUCUGCUAGUGGCGCACGGGUGAGUAACGCGUGGGAACGUGCCUUGGAGUUCGGGAUAACAGUUGGAAACGACUGCUAAUACCGAAUAUUCCCUCAGGGGGAAAGAUUUAUCGCUCCAAGAUCGGCCCGCGUAAGAUUAGGUAGUUGGUGGGGGUAAUGGCCUACCAAGCCUACGAUCUUUAGCUGGUCUGAGAGGACGACCAGCCACACUGGAACUGAGACACGGUCCAGACUCCUACGGGAGGCAGCAGUGGGGAAUAUUGGACAAUGGGCGAAAGCCUGAUCCAGCCAUGCCGCGUGAAUGAUGAAGGCCUUAGGGUUGUAAAAUUACUUUUGCAGGGGAAGAUAAUGACGGUACCCUGCGAAUAAGCUCCGGCUAACUCCAUGCCAGCAGCCGCGGUAAU
rnacentral:rRNA from 1 species